AACGAACGCUGGCGGCAUGCCUAACACAUGCAAGUCGAACGAUCCCUUCGGGGAUAGUGGCGCACGGGUGCGUAACGCGUGGGAACCUGCCCUUAGGUUCGGAAUAACUCAGAGAAAUUUGAGCUAAUACCGGAUAAUGUCUUCGGACCAAAGAUUUAUCGCCUUUGGAUGGGCCCGCGUUGGAUUAGCUAGUUGGUGGGGUAAAGGCCUACCAAGGCGACGAUCCAUAGCUGGUCUGAGAGGAUGAUCAGCCACACUGGGACUGAGACACGGCCCAGACUCCCACGGGAGGCAGCAGUGGGGAAUAUUGGACAAUGGGCGAAAGCCUGAUCCAGCAAUGCCGCGUGAGUGAUGAAGGCCUUAGGGUUGUAAAGCUCUUUUACCCGGGAUGAUAAUGACAGUACCGGGAGAAUAAGCCCCGGCUAACUCCGUG
rnacentral:rRNA from 1 species